rnacentral:rRNA from 1 species
UACGGAGGGAGCUAGCGUUGUUCGGAAUCACUGGGCGUAAAGAGCACGUAGGCGGCUUAUCAAGUUGGGAGUGAAAUCCCGGGGCUUAACCCCGGAACUGCUCUCAAAACUGAUUCGCUAGAGUUUGGUAGGGGAUAGUGGAAUUCCUAGUGUAGAGGUGAAAUUCUUAGAUAUUAGGAGGAACACCGGUGGCGAAGGCG